GACGAACGCUGGCGGCGUGCUUAACACAUGCAAGUCGAACGGAAAGGCCCUGCUUUUGUGGGGUGCUCGAGUGGCGAACGGGUGAGUAACACGUGAGUAACCUGCCCUUGACUUUGGGAUAACUUCAGGAAACUGGGGCUAAUACCGGAUAGGAGCUCCUGCUGCAUGGUGGGGGUUGGAAAGUUUCGGCGGUUGGGGAUGGACUCGCGGCUUAUCAGCUUGUUGGUGGGGUAGUGGCUUACCAAGGCUUUGACGGGUAGCCGGCCUGAGAGGGUGACCGGCCACAUUGGGACUGGGAUACGGCCCAGACUCCUACGGGAGGCAGCAGUGGGGUAUAUUGCACAAUGGGCGGAAGCCUGAUGCAGCAACGCCGCGUGCGGGAUGACGGCCUUCGGGUUGUAAACCGCUUUCGCCUGUGACGAAGCGUGAGUGACGGUAAUGGGUAAAGAAGCACCGGCUAACUACGUG
rnacentral:rRNA from 1 species